UACGAAGGGGGCUAGCGUUGCUCGGAAUCACUGGGCGUAAAGCGCACGUAGGCGGAUUGUUAAGUCAGGGGUGAAAUCCUGGAGCUCAACUCCAGAACUGCCUUUGAUACUGGCGAUCUUGAGUCCGGGAGAGGUGAGUGGAACUGCGAGUGUAGAGGUGAAAUUCGUAGAUAUUCGCAAGAACACCAGUGGCGAAGGCGGACUCACUGGCCCGGUACUGGACGCUGAGGUGCGAAAGCGUGGGGAGCGAGUCGG
rnacentral:rRNA from 1 species